UGUUUAGGGUUGAUGGUCAACAAGUUAAUUGCAAAUUAAUUUUUUAUGAGUUCAAUUCUCAUCUAAACAU
rnacentral:tRNA from 1 species